rnacentral:rRNA from 1 species
UACAGAGGUCUCAAGCGUUGUUCGGAUUCAUUGGGCGUAAAGGGUGUGUAGGUGGCGCCGUAAGUCGGGUGUGAAAUUUCGGAGCUUAACCCCGAAACUGCAUUCGAUACUGCGGUGCUUGAGGACUGGAGAGGAGACUGGAAUUCAUGGUGUAGCAGUGAAAUGCGUAGAGAUCAUGAGGAAGACCAGUGGUGAAGGCGGGUCUCUGGACAGUUCCUGACACUGAGACACGAAGGCCAGGGGAGCAAACGGG